rnacentral:rRNA from 1 species
UACGUAGGGGGCAAGCGUUGUCCGGAUUUAUUGGGCGUAAAGAGCUCGUAGGCGGUUGGGCAAGUCACGUGUGAAAUCUCCACGCUCAACGUGGAGGCGCCACGUGAGACUGCCCUGACUCGAGUCCGGUAGGGGAGCGUGGAAGUUCCUGGUGGUGAGCGGUGGAAUGCGCAGAGUAUCAGGAAGAACACCCGUGGCGAAGGCGGCUCUCUGGGACGGUACUGACGGCUGAGACGCGAAAGCGUGGGGAGCGAACAGG